rnacentral:rRNA from 1 species
AUGAGUCAAAUGUUGAGCAUGAUGAAGCCCCUGCCUCACGACGCUGAAUACCCAUCUGAGUUCUUUGUUGAAGACCUAGAGUACCUGCCUCGCACCAUUUACCACAUCAUCAGGAAGACUCUAUGGCCUAUCAAAGGACACUCAUCUGCAGCGAAGCUUGAAGGAGCAAUGAAGACUUUGGUUUUCUAUAUCUUCAAUGGCAUCAGCUUCAAUGCUCAAGACUUCUUCAUCAGGCAGUUGGCUGCGUCUGGCUCCAACAUCUUUGGGUUGAAAUUCUAUGCUCCAUGGGUCAUGCGUCUGAUCAAGCGUCACUCAGCCUUCAACUAUCAGCCGUCUGCGUGCAAUCAUCUUAUAUUCUUGCCCGAGGUUGAUCUGUCAGUUGAAGCCAUUUACCCAGAGCCUGCUAAGGAUCCCAUUUAUCUUCACAAUGCUGAUCACCAAAGCUUCACCCAGCCCAUUGAAGGAAUUCCAGCAGUGUCUCGUGUUUAUCCCCUUGCUGGAAACACACGUGCCCCUCGUGCUCAAACUGAUGCCACUGGUAGCACCAUUGCGCAAAGGCCUCAAAGACGAUCUCGUGUCCUCAAUGACCGAGAGCUUGUCGUCACGCUGCAUCAGAAACAGGACAAACAUCACGACUGGCUUAAGCGUCAGAUGCAAAACCUCUUGGUGGAUGUCAACCGCAAUCGCAAUCUUGCCACCAAGAAUGCCUUUGUCACUCAUGAAACCUGUCGGAGGUCGUGGAAGAGUUUGCCCCUACUGAGUGUUGAAGCUAAUCUGCAUGACGAUGGCUUCACCGAACGCUUCAAGUUUGACUCAACUCCUCCCAGAAAUGCUCACUUGCGUCGGACUCCCUCACUUGAAGACUCUGAAUACUCGUCCUCAGCUGCAACCGUAAAUGCCAGAGACAUUGAUGACCAAGAUGAUGCAACUUCACCUCCUCCAACUUCAGCGCGUGACGACACUGCACCAAGUUCCUCUCCACCACCGGAUCUCACCAACGACCCUGCUGCCUCGCCUGCACCUCAUGGGAUCGAGUAG